UACGUGGGGGGCAAGCGUUGUUCGGAAUUACUGGGCGUAAAGGGCCAGUAGGCGGCCAACUAAGUCGGAUGUGAAAUCCCCAGGCUUAACCUGGGAACUGCAUCCGAUACUGGAUGGCUUGAAUUCGGGAGAGGGAUGCAGAAUUCCAGGUGUAGCGGUGAAAUGCGUAGAUAUCUGGAGGAAUACCGGUGGCGAAGGCGGCAUCCUGGACCGACAUUGACGCUGAACGGCGAAAGCUAGGGGAGCAAACGGG
rnacentral:rRNA from 1 species